UGUGUUUCCCAGUUGGUUUGA
rnacentral:miRNA from 1 species